UACACCUCCAGCCUCCAGCCGAGCACUAGAUUUCUUCUUCUACAUACUGAUUUCUUUGGUUCUCCGGCACUGCCACCACCACCACCAUUACCACCAGAAUCUAUACCCUCAUCUACUUCUCCUUUUCAGUUGGUCGUGAAUGGAUGUGCUAAAUCUUUUGUAUGGUUCACAGAACUUCAAGAGGAAAAUAUUGUAGUUCUUUGAAGAGAGAACUACUACCAAGAAGGACAAAAGGUGUACCAAAAAUAAGAGGUACCGGAAGCAUUCGAGAGAACUCGGUUUAUAGUCAGAAGAUUAAUCUGUCUUUGAAAAAAAUGGGUUGACGACGAUAUCAAUACUAACAGAACUCGGGUUAUAUUCAAAAGAACUCAGGUGGUCAUUGCCGUAAAGGAACUACUCCAACCUUCAGUACAUCUGCUACAGAAAGGAUAGCCAUCCUUUUGUAUAUGGAAAUAACUAUAAGACUGAUUGACAACAAGCUGCAUCUCUGCAGCGCUGAGGAUACUGGCGCAAUGUAUACUAAGGGCUUUUCUAGGAUCGGCACUAUCAAACAAGUGAAUUGACCGAGCUUGGCCAUACUGACAGAGAUCAAUUUGUGUUUGCUGCUCCUCAUCCAACACCCACUAUAGUAUUCUCUCCUGUAGCAGCGACAUGAUGGCUAGAACAGGUUCCAGUAACAAAGAGUCUAUAAAGGAAGUUCAUGAAGUGCCUUGAGGUUCGGACCAAAGUUUUCUAUGCAAAAAAUUAUGAAUCUGAUGAUCUAUAAGCUGACGGAGUUUUGUGAUUCAUUUAAUCGCUGAUAUUAGAUCAGGUUUAUUAAGCCAAGAUAUAGUCUACAUUCCAAGAAAUUGGUUAACAAUAUUUAGAAGACGUUAUGGAACCAGGAAGGUAUUUCUGAAAGGUGGAGAAAGUGAAUGAUCUUUUUAAGGAACCACAUCAUUCUUUAGACAUUUUAUUCUUUUAUGGUGAACAUUGCUGACUCGGCGUCUGAAUCUGAGUCAACCCCUGACUCGGACCGAGUCAGCAGUCAGACC